rnacentral:rRNA from 1 species
UACGAACUGUGCAAACGUUAUUCGGAAUCACUGGGCUUAAAGGGUGCGUAGGCGGUCAUUUAGGUAGGGUGUGAAAGCCCCCGGCUCAACCGGGGAAUUGCGCCCUAAACCGGGUGACUGGAGUGAGAUAGGGGUGUGUGGAACUUCCGGUGGAGCGGUGGAAUGUGUUGAUAUCGGAAGGAACGCCGGUGGCGAAAGCGACACACUGGGUCUCAACUGACGCUGAGGCACGAAAGCCAGGGGAGCAAACGGG